UACGAAGGGGGCUAGCGUUGCUCGGAAUGACUGGGCGUAAAGGGCGCGUAGGCGGUUCAUACAGUCAGAUGUGAAAUUCCUGGGCUCAACCUGGGGGCUGCAUUUGAUACGUGUGGACUAGAGUGGGGAAGAGGGUCGUGGAAUUCCCAGUGUAGAGGUGAAAUUCGUAGAUAUCGGGAAGAACACCGGUGGCGAAGGCGGCGACCUGGUCCUUGACUGACGCUGAGGCGCGAAAGCGUGGGGAGCAAACAGG
rnacentral:rRNA from 1 species